CAGCAGCCGCGGUAAUACGUAGGUGGCAAGCGUUGUCCGGAAUUAUUGGGCGUAAAGGGCUCGCAGGCGGUUUCUUAAGUCUGAUGUGAAAGCCCCCGGCUCAACCGGGGAGGGUCAUCGGAAACUGGGAAACUUGAGUGCAGAAGAGGAGAGUGGAAUUCCACGUGUAGCGGUGAAAUGCGUAGAGAUGUGGAGGAACACCAGUGGCGAAGGCGACUCUCUGGUCUGUAACUGACGUUGAGGAGCGAAAGCGUGGGGAGCGAACAGGAUUAGAUACCCCUGUAGUCCCUGUCUCUUAUAC
rnacentral:rRNA from 1 species